rnacentral:rRNA from 1 species
GACGAACGCUGGCGGCGUGCUUAACACAUGCAAGUCGAACGAUGAGCCCCGAGCUUGCUCUGGGGGAUUAGUGGCGAACGGGUGAGUAACACGUGAGUAACCUGCCCUGGACUCUGGGAUAAGCGUUGGAAACGACGUCUAAUACCGGAUAGGACCUUGGGCCGCAUGGUCUGGGUUGGAAAGUUUCUUCGGUCGGGGAUGGACUCGCGGCCUAUCAGCUUGUUGGUGGGGUAAUGGCUGACCAAGGCGUCGACGGGUAGCCGGCCUGAGAGGGUGACCGGCCGCACAGGGAGGGAGUCACGGCCGGGCCUGCUUCGGGAGGGAGCAAGGGGGAGUAAAGAUCAAUGGGCGAAAGCAUGCCGCAGCAAGGAAGCGUGCGGGCGGAAGGACGGCGGUCUGUAAGCCGCUUUUAGUAGCCAGGAACGGCGUGGGCUUGACGGUACCGGCAGAAAAAGGACCGGCUAACUACGUG